GCGAUACAGGGUGACAGCCCCGUACACAAAAAUGCACAUGCUGUGAGCUCGAUGAGUAGGGCGGGACACGUGGUAUCCUGUCUGAAUAUGGGGGGACCAUCCUCCAAGGCUAAAUACUCCUGACUGACCGAUAGUGAACCAGUACCGUGAGGGAAAGGCGAAAAGAACCCCGGCGAGGGGAGUGAAAAAGAACCUGAAACCGUGUACGUACAAGCAGUGGGAGCCUCUUUAUGGGGUGACUGCGUACCUUUUGUAUAAUGGGUCAGCGACUUAUAUUCUGUAGCAAGGUUAACCGAAUAGGGGAGCCGAAGGGAAACCGAGUCUUAACUGGGCGUUAAGUUGCAGGGUAUAGACCCGAAACCCGGUGAUCUAGCCAUGGGCAGGUUGAAGGUUGGGUAACACUAACUGGAGGACCGAACCGACUAAUGUUGAAAAAUUAGCGGAUGACUUGUGGCUGGGGGUGAAAGGCCAAUCAAACCGGGAGAUAGCUGGUUCUCCCCGAAAGCUAUUUAGGUAGCGCCUCG
rnacentral:rRNA from 1 species